CACGUAGGGCGCAAGCGUUGUCCGGAAUUAUUGGGCGUAAAGAGCUCGUAGGCGGCCUGUUGCGUCUGCUGUGAAAACCCGGGGCUUAACCCCGGGCCUGCAGUGGAUACGGGCGGGCUAGAGGCAGGUAGGGGAGAAUGGAAUUCCCGGUGUAGCGGUGAAAUGCGCAGAUAUCGGGGAGGAACACCAGUGGCGAAGGCGGCUCACUGGCCCAUUCUGACGCUGAGGCACGAAAGCGUGGGGAGCAAACAGG
rnacentral:rRNA from 1 species